rnacentral:tRNA from 1 species
AAGAAAGAAGCAUAAGUGUUUUGAUGUAGUUGGCUUGAAACCAGUGUACGAGGGUUCGAUUCCUUCCUUCCUUG